UCGUAACAAGGUCUCCGUAGGUGAACCUGCGGAGGGAUC
rnacentral:rRNA from 12 species